GCCUGGCUGGCUCAGUUGGUAGAGCAUGCGACUUUUGAUCUAGGGUUUGUGAGUUUGAGCCCCAUGCUGGGCA
rnacentral:tRNA from 1 species